CUUGACUCCGCUUAUCAACAGAAGGCAACGAGAUGAUGAAAAUAUCCAUUCUUCUAUUGAUUGCGCUGAUCAUUGCUGUAGUUAGCAGUUAUCCUUUAGGAUGGUAUGGAUACGGCUACGGUGGCUAUCCAUGGAGUUCCGGCUACUACGGCCUGGGUGAUUACUAUGGCGGCUAUGGCUACUCUCCGUAUUGGUAUUGGUAACUGACGACACACUUCAACUGGAGAUUCACAUUAUCAUUAUAAACAAUGCUUCAUCUAGUCAAUAAGCGCAUCAAUAAAAUGGUACUGUGCCUAACAAUGCCAAACAAA